UUUUUGGAAAUAAUUUAAAGUCUAAUCUGCCCACUGAUAAAUAUAUUAAAGGGCUGCAGUAUUUUGACUGUACAAAGGUAGCAUAAUCAUUAGUCUCUUAAUUGGUGACUUGUAUGAAAGAUUGGAUGAAAUAUAAACUGUCUCUAAUUAAUUUAUAAAAUUUAAUUUUUUAGUAAAAAAGCUAAAAUAAUUUUAAAAGACGAGAAGACCCUAUAGAGUUUUAUAAUUUAUUUGAUUAUUAUUAAUAUGUAAAUUUUAAAAUUAAAAUUAAAUAAAUUAUUUUGUUGGGGUGACAGAAAAAUUAAAUUAACUUUUUUAAAUAAUUAACAUUAAUUUAUGAGUAAAUGAUCCAUUAAUAUUGAUUAAAAGAAAAAAUUACCUUAGGGAUAACAGCGUAAUUUUUUUUUUUAGUUCAAAUAGGAAAAAAAGUUUGCGACCUCGAUGUUGGAUUAAGAUAAAAUUUAAAUG
rnacentral:rRNA from 1 species